CCCAGCACCCCAGGGGCUCAACAUGGCUGCCAUGCUCCGGCUCGGCCGGACGUCUGAUCACUCACCGGGCUGAACUCUGACACGUCGUCUCCUGUGGGAGAAAACAAGCACAACAUUUAAACUAGUAACGUUUUCUGUCUGCUUGACAAACUGACAGACUGUGAACGCAACAUUAAAAUAGUGAACUUGUGAUCAGACAGCAGCUUAUUUCCACUUCCAGCAGCUACAGAGCAACACAAUACUUGUGGAGUCGUGUUUGUGUCACCUGAUGAAUUUCGCUCGGGGAGCUAACAGAGACUUCCCCGCCCUCGUUGGCGACGCUGACCUCAUCUCCACUGCUGGAUGUCCUGUGGCGGCGGGACGGAGGGCGACGCCGGAUGGAGUGGCGGGCUCGGCUCUGGAGAAGGACCAAUGGGGGCAGAGACAGACAGCAUCGUGUGGUGGAGCCGAGCACUUGAAUCUUCCUGCAAGUUCAGCCACAGAGCGGCGGGGCGGAGCCUCCCCCUGAGGGCGGGAAAAGGAUAGAAGCGCCAAAGUGUUUUUCCUGAGGCGUCCAUCUUGGUUUUCUGACGCCGUCAACUUGGGUGUGACAUCAAUCCCAGGUCCGACUUCAAAGGUGGUCUCAUCAGCAGCUCUGUUUGGAUGAAGAGGAACCUGCAGCCGGUUGUUGCUGCAGGAUGUCUCCUGCGCUCUAAAGGGAAGUUGAGUCACUCGAGCGGAGAUGUUUUUUUCUCUCAUUUCUCCUUUUGUGUUUCUUCACUUCUUCUGCGUGUUGACCAACUAACUGCUGGUUGCAUAAGGAGACAGUCUGAAACUAACAGUUCUGGUGAAAUUCAAGGCAGGAGCACUGGGGAAACACGCUGCCACAAAAACGUUUUGAAUGGAGGACGCCUGUUUUCUCUUGAAGGAGGCAAACAGUUUUUAAAGAUUCUUAAUGAUGAAACAGUCAAAGAAAAUGAUGAAAUCAUCUUCUCUCCUUUCAGGUGUGUCUCAGCUUAUCUGCUGACCAAUCUGCUGAUCAGUGUUGGUGGAUUGUCAAGCAGCACAGGAUGUGGUGGGAGGGGAGGAGGAGUGAGGCACACAGGAAGAAACGCUGUGUUAUGAAACCUUAUAAGUACAUCAGUAUCUUGGAAAGCGGCCAUGCACGAGAAGAUACCCAAAGCUGCCUGAGCGACAGCGCUGCCUCUGGCUGGUCGCAGCGCCCCCUGCAGGCGGGAGGUUGGACGCCGCCUUCACAGAGUGGAAGUCUUCAGAGGGAAAAGGUGAGGAGGAGACUGUGAAGUGUGAUCUGGACACAGGGAGGAAGGAGGAGAAGGGGAGAGCUGCGCAGGACAUUGGGAACCCUGGCAGAGUUUUGAGAUGCUCGUCAAUCGAAGGAUUACACGAUCUGAUGAUUUUACAGAGGGGCCAGAGGUCGCUCACUCGCCGGUCCAUCUGCCAUGCUGCGUCUGGAGGGAACCAAUUAACAGAGAGAGAUGCCAAGAAAAGAGGACCAAUCAGAGGAGGGGAUGGAGACAUUGGGCGGGCCACAGACUUACACUGCAGCGUCCCAGGAGACAGGAUGUCCUCGUCCAUGUCGUCGAGGUCAUCGGAGAGGAGGAGGUGCUGAGGGGUCGGAGGUCGCAGGCCGAGGAAGGACGGGUCCAGGUUGAGGGCGACGGCCAGCGCUCCCAGGCCCGGGUUAUUGACCACACAGAACCCCGUCAGAGACUCGAUCUGCUGCCAGCGGUGCAGCUUCUCCCGCAGGGCGGCCGUCACCUCGGCCAGGGCC